GCUAAACAAAUAGGCAAUGUUCAAGAAAUCGACUUGUGAUUGAUAGAUUAUUAGGAAGCCUAAAUCUAAUCAUAGCACCACUGUUAAUUAAUUACAUGACCCCAGCGUAAAAGCUUAACCUCUCCGUUCCCUCGCAUGGAAUAAGCAUGAUAUCAUUUGGUGCCCCUGGCCUCCAUAACUGUUCAAAGGGUAGGAUGAGAUGAAGGUGGAAAAAGUCUGCAGUGGUUCAGAAGUGACAGGUUGUUCUUCUUUCCCCACAGGUACCACUAUUUUGGCUGUUUUGUACUUGCGGAGCAGAAAGAAUGCUAAAGCAGGAAUGCAGGUGAUUCUGAAAGUCGGCCUUGAAGGGAUCACCACUAGAUAUUUUCCCUUAUGGUCUCUGCAGGACAAUAGACCAAGGAGAACCCAGAUUUUCUGUGGAUAUUCAACCCUUAUACCCAAUGCAGCUCAAUAACUCAAGAAAGUUUGAUCAAAUCUCUCAGAGGGACUGAAUUUGGGAGCAAACAGUCGAUUUUGCUAAGAUAAGUGAUAGACUCAAGACACUGAAACAUGGUUUUUCUACUUGAGUUACUCUGCUCUAACAGAAUAUCCCAUUGAGUGAAUGCUAGACGCAGGUGGCUCCUUUUAAACCUGAAUCAAUAUGUUCCAGAGGUUGUGCUAUUAACGUUUGAUAUCUGUAAAGCAGAAUACUUCAAGUGAACACUGCUUCCUUAAAUUGGGGAAAUGGUAUCUUUUGGUCUUGAAUGCCAUUUUUGUUUAACUCUGAGGAGUACCUCCUUGGUGGCUGACUGCUCACUAUCCUCAGCCCCAAUCAUUUCUCUCUCUCUCUCUCUCUCUCUCCUCUCUCUCUGUCUGUCUUUGGCAACCUGCCUUCCCUGUACCUUAGAUACCCAAGAAAUACCUUCCAGGUCUGUGUAACUUGCUACCUUUCUUGUGCGCCUCUCUCUACUUGGCAUUCCGUACCUCUUCAUCCCAGUAUUUCUCCUGUCCGCCUCAUGUCCAUGGCUCAGCCUGAGUGCAACAACAGUAAUAACAAUUCAUUAAGCCCCUGUGUAACUGAAGUCCACACAUUUUGGUAAUUGGCCCAGCAUUGCCAGUUAGGAAGUGAGCAAUUAGAAAGCUAGAAAUUAUUUGAACCCAGACUGCCCUCUUUCCAAUUUGCCACAGUGACUCCUCCAACCUCCUACUGCCUAUGCCCAUUAAUGAUGAGUAUCUCCGGGCUGCCAUCAGGGCUUCUGGGAAGCAGGCCUGAGAUGAACUCCGUCAGUUCACACAGUCACAGAAGAUUGCAUCCAGGUACGGUUUUGGAUGUCAUCUAAUUCAAUCCCUUCAUUUAACAGAUGGAAAAACUGAGGUGGGGGAAUCCAGAAGGCUGGUGAGGUUAGGCAGUAUGGCAGAGUAGAAUGAUCAUGGAAUUUCAUGAUAGUCCAGGGUUCAAGUCCAAACGGGUAACCAGUCAAGUGGCCUUAACCAAGUCACUUAAUCUCUUUGAGCAUCAGUUUCAUUUGCUAUGAAAUGAGAAUCAUAACACCUAAAAAUUAUGUGUGUAUAGUGCCUACCUGUGGUAGGUUUUAAGAACUGAUGCCUAUUAUAUUCUGACAACCAGUCUAGUAGCAUCUUGCUUGGAUCCUGGAAGGAGCCCCCUGAGCUGGAGGGCAGC
rnacentral:lncRNA from 1 species